rnacentral:tRNA from 1 species
GGAAGUGCGCAGCGUUCUGGUGAAGCUCCCGGACUUCAAAUCCGGUGUGGGGCGCUAACACCGCCCCGGGUGGGUUCGAUUCCCAUGCACUUCCGCCA